rnacentral:rRNA from 1 species
AUGGUGGCGGAGCUGCGAUGCCGGCGACCAAAUUUCUUUUUGCUGCAACCGUCGUCUGAUUUUGCUACUAUCGGUGAGGUAAUUUGCUACAUCCAUGAUGGUGGAGCUGUGACGCCGGCGACCAAUUUCUUUUUUGUUGCCACCGUUAGUGUUUUUUGCUACUACCGGCGAUGUAUUUUGCUACAUCCACUCAAUGUCGUUUACUGGUGGUCGUCGGUCGUAGCGAGCAUCGACGACGAGUGGCGGCGGCGCACAUUGGGUGCCGCAACCAUGGAGCGUCGACGGGGGGAGUUGCAACCGUCUGAGGUGGAGCUUGCAACUGAAAAUUAA